GUUAAAUUUCUCGGGAUGUCUCAAAUGAUCAUUAUGUCCAUAAUAAAAUUUUAUUUCAUAAUUAAAAGUUCGAACAAUUCUUUAUCCAUAUAAUGUCCAAUGCUUGAUCUGGUACAAGCAAUGGAUCGUUAGAUCCAUGAAGAAUCAACGUUGGGCAGUUUAUUUUCGCGACAACGAUCAUCUUGCGGAUGCUCUCAGGAUAUGUGGCGGCGAGCAAAAGCGCUGUGGUACCGCCAUCGCUACAGCCGACUAAGGAGAAUUUCGAGUAGCCCAGGGUCUUCAUCAGACUAUGAGCCCACAUUGCAUCACGCUGAUAAUAAUUAUCCGGAUCUUCAAUCUGCGGUGCGAAAAUUAACCAUCCUGCUCCUGAAACAUAUAUCCAGCUUAAGAAGCAAUAAAUUUUACUUUACAUAUUUUGCUUUCAUCAAAUCAACAUUUGUGCCAUUUUUCUCAAAGUAAUGAAACUUAACAAACUUAUCAGGGUCAAAAAAUAUUUGAGAAACGCAUUUCUCUUUCCCUCUUAACGUUCAGAAAUUUAAUAACAGAGAAAACAAACUAUAAUUGUGUUUAAAAUAUUAAAAAGUUCAAAUGCUACAGCUGUGUGCGUGUAUUCAUCGAAUCGAACUCAAAAAAUAGUAACGAAUCCCACUAAAAUGAAUGCGUAAAAUGUGCUAUCUCAGUGCAACAACUGUUCGCCGUUUCCGUUGUCGUUAUACGUAAUGAUACAAACGAUCACUCACCUAAUACUCCAGGCAGCAAUAGCACCGGAUGAUCGCCCGUGCCGUUUCGAAUGAAAUUAAUGUUUACGUCGUCUAUCUGAAUCUUUUGCUCCUGUAAAUCGACCUUUUGUUUAACGGGAUGAUUCGGAUGAAUUGUGACUUGACAAAUGAUACUCGAUACGAUAUAUGCUAUUUUAUAUUUGGUCUGCAGUGUGAAACGCAAAUUUUACCUUCAUCUUAUGAGCCUUGCUUCCCCUAAUUGAUAAUUGUCAACCGACAAAUCACUAAAGAUAAGGCACCUGUCACGUCUUGAAUGCUCUCGACCUAUUGUACCUAUUGUACGUGUAUAGUUUCCGACAAACAACCUAUGACUCUAUCGUCCUGCGCGAAAUGUGGUGUCUAUUAGUAUUGUCAUUACAUGUUGACAUACCGCGUACGUUGUGCAGUGUAAUCUUUUUCCACUGUCAUGUGAAAUUAGUGUCGUGGCUACUACUGGAUGAAAAGUUAAUUUUGUUUAUUUAAAUUCCGAGAUAGCAGAAAUUUUCUUAAUUAAGAGACAUUAUAAUUCUAUUAACUUGAGAAAAGAUACUGACAACUUGCCGGUUGUUUAUGAUCUUAUUUUGAGAAAUACUUAACAACCUGUUUUCUUCGAAUUCAGUUGUUUAUUGUGCAACAAAAUGAUUUAAUUUUAUAGAUUAAAACACACCUGGUCACAUUUAUUACCUUUAGUAAUUAAAAUUGAUUGCGAGUACGUCCGCUUUGAAUGCUAACGCGCUUUCAACGUCAGUUUACUUUUAUUCCACAUUUCGUGAAGAAUAAAGAUUUAUUUGUAUAAG